rnacentral:rRNA from 1 species
GUGGGGAAUCUUCCGCAAUGGACGAAAGUCUGACGGAGCAACGCCGCGUGAGUGAUGAAGGUCUUCGGAUUGUAAAGCUCUGUUAAUCGGGACGAAAGAGCCUAGUGUGAAUAAUGCUAGGAAGUGACGGUACCGGAAUAGAAAGCCACGGCUAACUACGUGCCAGCAGCCGCGGUAAUACGUAGGUGGCAAGCGUUGUCCGGAAUUAUUGGGCGUAAAGCGCGCGCAGGCGGAUCUGCCAGUCUGUCUUAAAAGUUCGGGGCUUAACCCCGUGAUGGGAUGGAAACUACAGAUCUAGAGUAUCGGAGAGGAAAGUGGAAUUCCUAGUGUAGCGGUGAAAUGCGUAGAUAUUAGGAAGAACACCAGUGGCGAAGGCGACUUUCUGGACGAUGUCUGACGCUGAGGCGCGAAAGCUAGGGGAGCGAACGGGAUUAGAUACCCGGGUAGUCC